UUCACAACUACUUUGGGAAAAUCCUCACACUAUUCUUAUGUUGUAUGAACGUCAGAUUAAAAAAAUGGAUAUAAGAACAUCAAACUUUGUACGUACAUGGAAUACUUCUGUCUCAAAAAAAAAUCCUAAAUUACAUAGUUUCUCUUCAGAUUAUUUGUAUACUGUUAUGACAGGGACGGAUAUUGGUUCAGUACGUCUAUGGGAUCAAAGAUUUAAUAAUUGCAUUAAGACGUAUCAAAUAUCUCUUAUUAAUUCUAUCCGUUCCAACCCUGUACUUUCUGUGCAAUUUGAUAGCUCUCAUAUGUAUACUAUUACAGAACUAGGAAGUGUGACUCAACUUAAUUUUAGACAUAAAAUCAUUUUUGACCACGCUGCAAGGAAAAAGUAUUUUAGAAAUUUUAUUUAAAUAAAAAAG